AGCUUUCUUUGGGAAUGAGGUUGGGAUCCUGCACCUUCAGGAGCCUUGGGCCAUUUUUUGUCCGGGGAAUGGGGGUGGCACUGGCACAAGGUGGAUCCAAUCCCUGCUGCCCCCAGCUCUGCUGGAUUCCUGCCCUUUGUGCCUGCCCUGAAGCAGGCAGAGGAACCCCCCAGGAUGAAAUCCAUCAAAUCCCUGUGUUCCCAUCACCUUUGAUCUCUUCCAGGCCGUGCUGCCGUCCUAUGAAGAAGCCCUGGAAUUGCCUUCCAAGGAUUCCCUCCCUCCCUACGUGUCCCUCUGAGCCCAGCCCAGGGGAGAGGGGGCACUGGCUGCUGCUGAGCCUCUCCCCUCCUGGCAGAGCCCAGGCCCUGCUCCACAGCAGUUUCCAGCUUUUUCCAGCAGUGAUAAGGGGCUGUGGCCUGUCCAGCAGUGACUCUGCACAGCUCAGGCCCUGCCAAUGUCACUGAUGUCCCUGGAAUUCCACACCUGCUCCCCCUUCGGGAUCAUUUCCUGCUCUUCUCAAACAUCUCAGUGUGAAAAAAGAGAGGUUUUCUCUGUCUUUAGUGAAGUCUCCAUGCCAGCCUCAUCCAGAGCUUGGAUCCCAGCUCUGAACCAGCACAGCCCAGGCUUCAGUGCAAUUCUGAACAGCAAACUCCAAUGGAAUAUUUGCAGAGGAUGGGUGAGGAAUGUGCUGCUGCCCCUGCUCUUGUCACUGGAUGUGCCUUUCUGUAACGGGGAGGAGGUUGGUUGUGCAUUUUCCAGCUGAUUUUCCCACUGAGGGGAGAGAAUUCCAUUUUUCUGUGCUCCAUCUCCUUGUUCUGGGCACCAGGAUGCUCCACAGCAGACCUGGAGGCUGGAAAUGACAUCUCAUAGCUCCAGUGCUUUUAAACACGCUCAGAAAUCACCCCAAAAGCACAAACCUCUCGUUUUCUGCCCCCACCUCUGCCAAUUGUUUAACCAAAGAGCAAGAGAGAAACUCCAGAUCCCACCAGGAAACCUUGCAGGACAGAUUAGUGCAGCAAGGCCCAGCCCAGCCUCCUGCUGAGAGAUUAAAAAUGAUCUUUGAAUUAUGAAUUAAACUGGCUGCUGAAGGUUCCACACAUGCCUUGCCCAGGAGCAGGGCUGGCUGCUGGAGCUGUGGUCAUCGCUCACCUCGGCUGCUCCAAGCAAACCAAGCUCAGAGAGUCCUGGAGGAGGCUCUGGGCCCUUGGAAAAGAACAUUCCUGCUCUGAAUAUUCCUCACCAGAGCCUGGGAUGGUGUGGGACAGCUCUGGAACAUCCAACCCACCUGUUAUAGACACAUUUUAUAUUGCUGGCUUUUUGCAAAUAUUAAAAUGAAUGUUAUGUGUAUAAUGGAAAUUUUGUUGUAUUAAUAUAGUUUUCUUUAUAUCUGUUAUUGAUUAAAUUCAGAAAUAGUGGUAUAAUACAUAGAUGUUAGGUUAUGGCAUAAUAUUAAAAUAAAAACUGUCUUUGUUUGUAUAACCCA
rnacentral:lncRNA from 1 species